GGAACGUUAUGAGGGUGGCACCGACUUCCGGUCAGGGUGGAGGCGAGACGAUGCGAGCGGCCUGAGGGCGCAUCUGGGCUCCCGGGGGGCCAGGCCGGGCCAGCCCAGGGAGAGAGCCUGGCAGAAGAACAACCACGAUGGCUCGAAUUCCCAUGGGCAAAGUUCUUCUGCGAAAUGUCAUCCGCCACACAGAUGCACACAACAAGAUUCAAGAAGAAUCAGAGAUGUGGAAAAUUAGGGAAAAAGAGAAGCAAACAAAUGAGAUGAGAUUUUUCCAGCGGAGGAGAAAAUCUGUGAAUUUGCCAGGCAAUAGAAUGCGAUGUGAUGGGUAUGAUGAAGAGGAGGAAGAGAGGAAGGCAAAUGCUGCUGCUCGUAAGCCUUUGCCCACUCCACAGGAUGAACGUGAAACAAGAUACUGGACAAAGAAGCUGUACCACUUUGAAGCAAGUGAUCCAAACAGAUGGGGUCACAGUGGCUACAAAGAACUUUAUCCAGAGGAAUUUGAAUCCGAGAGUGACCAAAAAGAUAGCAGCGAUGGGCACACUGCCAAUGGGACAAAAGCCAUACGCCUGAAGUCUUCAAAAUCAAACUCACGAAAACGUAAGCGAUCAGGUAAAUCAAAUAAGAAGAAACGCAAAAAGAAAUCCAGUAAAAAGAUGAGGAGGAAGAAAUGUCUGCGGACUAGCGAUUCUUCAAGUGACAGUGAAAGCUCGGAGGAGGAGGACUCAGAUCACAGGAAAAGGAGAAAAGCGAAGAAGAAGCAUCGCAAAAAAGCAGCCAAGAAGCAAAAGAAACUAUCCUCCUCCUCCUGCGAAAGUGAAAGGAAUUCGUCACACAGCAGUGAUUCUGACACAACUAGCAAAGAUGAAAGCGAUCCUGGGAAUCACCUGGAGAAAAGGAGGAAGAAGAGAAAGAAAAAGCAUCGCAGAAAUGCCCUCAAAGAAGAUGACGAUAAAGAAAUAAAAAAUAGCAGAAAGAAGAGGAAAAACUGGAAAAUAGCACACAAUGAUACUUCAGAUGACAGUGGGGAAGAUGACUUGAAUUAGAUUUCUACUUUGAAAAUCUUGUCUUCAAGUUCCUAAGGAACUUAUUUGAAUCGUGUAAACCGAGCCAGACCAAGUACAUAAUUUGGAUUUUACUGACUUGGUCUAAAAAUUGUUUAGUGCUAGGGCACAAAACCAUUAUCUCGGCAGUAGCAGAACAGGAUGACAUGAACACUCUCUAUACCCCUCCAACCCUCCUAGGUUGGAGAGAUUUGUUGCAGGGAGGCAACAAUUUAUGAAAGCGUUUGGAGAGAAAUGGAAGUUUGGAGUUGAGAUGCAGCUGUCUGCAAGGAAAGAGGGUCUAUUUCUGAAAAACCAGCGAUAGAGGCAUAGUAACAAUGUCAACCCGUGAUAAUAAUUCCUUUCAGUAUCAAAUGGGCUUCUGAACGCUUGUCAACAAAAUAUAUUUGUUUGAAUUAAGUGUCUCUCUCCUUAACACAUAAAGGGAGGUGGUGGCUGGCGUAGUGGCAUUGUCACUGGACUAGUAAUCCAGAAACCCAGGGUAAUGCUGGGUUUGAAUUCUGCCAAGGCAGAUGGUGAAAUUUGAAUUCAAUAAAA